rnacentral:rRNA from 1 species
UGCCCAAGAGAUCGGGAUAACACCUGGAAACAGAUGCUAAUACCGGAUAACAACAGAUGAUGCCUAUCAACUGUUUAAAAGAUGGUUCUGCUAUCACUCUUGGAUGGACCUGCGGUGCAUUAGCUAGUUGGUAGGGUAACGGCCUACCAAGGCGAUGAUGCAUAGCCGAGUUGAGAGACUGAUCGGCCACAUUGGGACUGAUACACGGCCCAAACUCCUACGGGAGGCAGCAGUC